rnacentral:tmRNA from 1 species
GGGGGUGAUGGGACUCGACCUAGGUAAGUCGGGUAAAAGUAGCAUGUCGCGGAGGCGAGGUUAGCCGCGUUAACAAUCCUUGCACAUAUAAACGCAAAACCAACAUUGGUUAACCGUUUACCAGCAUUACAACCAGCAAUGGUUUUAAUGCCGGGAAUAGCCUUCGGGCUUAAUUAAGCUCGAAGCCUCUAUUCGUCCAGCCUGCGGGAUGAAAUAGAGCGAUAGACAGGCUGGCUUGAGCAAAUUAGCCUUUGGGGCUCAGGCGAGAUUAUAAAAGGCUGCGAUUUGCAAAUCCUGCCCCGCAGGAGUUGCAAAGUUAAGCUUAAAAUACGGGGCUAAGCAUGUAGCGACUUUUAUGCGAUUACUCAGGGACGGCGGUUCAAUUCCGCCCACCUCCACCA